GACGGAGGAUGCAAGUGUUAUCCGGAAUCACUGGGCGUAAAGCGUCUGUAGGUCGUUUAAAAAGUCUACUGUUAAAAAUUGAAGCUUAACUUCAAAGGUGCCGUAGAAACUUUUAAACUUGAGUAUGGUAGGGGUAGAGGGAAUUUCCAGUGGAGCGGUGAAAUGCGUAGAUAUUGGAAAGACCACCAAUGGCGAAGGCACUCGACUGGGCCAUUACUGACACUGAGAGACGAAAGCUAGGGGAGCAAAUGGG
rnacentral:rRNA from 1 species